UAUUACCGCGGCUGCUGGCACGUAGUUAGCCGGUCCUUAUUCUUCCGGUACCGUCAUCGACCCCAGGUAUUAACCAGAGCCAUUUCUUUCCGGACAAAAGUGCUUUACAACCCGAAGGCCUUCUUCACACACGCGGCAUUGCUGGAUCAGGCUUUCGCCCAUUGUCCAAAAUUCCCCACUGCUGCCUCCCGUAGGAGUCUGGGCCGUGUCUCAGUCCCAGUGUGGCUGAUCGUCCUCUCAGACCAGCUACUGAUCGUCGCCUUGGUGGGCCUUUACCCCACCAACUAGCUAAUCAGACAUCGGCCGCUCCUAUAGCAUGAGGCCUUGCGGUCCCCCACUUUCACCCUCAGGUCGUAUGCGGUAUUAGCUAAUCUUUCGACUAGUUAUCCCCCACUACAGGGCACGUUCCGAUGUAUUACUCACCCGUUCGCCACUCGCCAUCAAUCUAGCAAGCUAGAUCAUGCUGCCGUUCGACUUGCAUGUGUAAGGCAUGCCGCCAGCGUUCAAUCUGAGCCAGAAUCAAACUCU
rnacentral:rRNA from 1 species